AUAUAUAUAUAUAUAUUCCCUUUUCCCCCCACACACACAACACUCUAUUUUCUUCAUUGCUUCGAUUUAUUUUCUUUAGGUUAAAGUUAUUCAUUUCAUAUUUUCCGAUUUAUAUGUCUAUGUUUCAGAUCUACGUUUUCGAUUUCAUGAAUUCGCUUUUUCUGUUAUUAUCUAUGAUUUUUCCGUCACCGAUCUCGUAACUGUAAUCGGAAAAUGAAAAUUACGUGGCUGUGUUUGUGAAUUAUUUGUUUGUUAUUUUUUAUUAAAAGUUAAUCAAUUAAUUGAUUUGUUUUGAUAGUGUAGAAUAGAGAUGAGGUGAAGUCACUGGAGGCAGCGGUUCAUCGAUCUGUUCCUGAAUUUGUUUGUGUAAUUAUUUCACAAAACAAGAAUCGGUCGAUAAACCUCUGCAUCCAGCGCUCACUUUCCCCUCUCUGCAUAUUCAUGAUUUUAUGUAUUGGUGUUUUAAUUGCUGAUUUUCUUAUUAGUUCUCCUAAUUUUGUUGUUAUGAAUGAGAAUAUUGUUGAAUCUAAUAUUAUUUGUAUAUAUUGAACUGAAUUCAUUGUCCGGUUGAUCCCGAUCACCACACUCCCCCUGACGGGGGUGUGUGGGUGUUUAUUUGAGUAUGUGUUGACUACUAAGGUUAAUAGCAAAAUAUAAAUAUGAAAAACCGAAUGCAUCAUUGUUGUAUAUUUUUGCAAUUUCAUCAAAUAUUUAGCCAUUGUAUUUUAUUUUCCUUUUUCUGUAUACUUUUCUUACUGUGGUACAUUUUUUAAGUUUAUCCAUUUUAAACAAUGUCUUUGGGAGAUUAAAUUGUACUUUCUGGGACAGGUUGUUAUUCCUUAAUGGUUGUGUUUUUUUUCUUUUCUGAUUAAUCAACUUAUUUACCCCCAAAUAGUAAUGUUUCUCUUUGGCCUUUAAUUUUUACCUUUGUGUUAAUUAUUAAUGAUAACGAUGUUCUUGCUUGUUUCCUCCAUAAGCAAGUAGUUAGGGAUCUGAUCCCUGACUUUUUUGCAUAUGGAGAAUAACAUGGUUGCGAGAGGAAAAUCUCGUCUGUGUCUAAUAGAUUCUUUGACAUAGAGAUUAGUCAAUACUAAUCAACGGUCAAUAUCUCUGGUAUAUCAUGGUUAUGAAAAUAAUCAUUAUGGUGUUAAUUGUUCAUCUUGUUGUUAUUAAAAUCAAAAGGGUCGAUUUUAAUGUACUGAUAAGUAGUGUUCAUAGUCUAGUUAUAAAAAAGUAUGGUUUAUGGUAUAAAUUUAAGGUGAUAAACUUUAAUCUGUUCUAUAUAGCUAUUUGAUGUGAUUGAACUGUUCAGUCUUAAAAGAAUCAUGUUUCUAUGGUUUAUGUGUGUGGAUCAGAUUCCCUUUAUAUUCUGAUGCCUUAAAUAUUGGUUUCAUAUGUUAUGUAACAAAACUGAAGAAAUGUCCACAUUCAUUUUAGAAACUUCACUGUUUCUUUUAUAAGUAGUGGAGUUUUUUUGAAGAAGCUAUAUAGAGACCUCAUUACUCACAAGUCAUAACAUGUCAUUUUCUUCCUCCAUAUAUGGUUUAAAAGGUCUCUAUGUUUGUCAUCUCUAUUGGAAUAUAGGUUUCCAAAUUGUAGGCAACAAGAAACACUAAAGAUAGUUAAUACUGUAUAUGUGUCAAUAAAGUUACUCUUUAAAGGGUGUGUCCAGCUUGCAAGAGAAUAUAUAGGUGAUGGUUAAAGGAAUGGUAUCAAAUUCAUGAAGAAGGAAUGGUAUCAAUCCAAGGAUAUUCUAUUUAUUCCUUUAUAUAAGCAUUUCAUGAUUCAAUAUUUUAUCUUGUUCUGUUAGUAAUGUUGCAUCUUUGAACUAACACUAGAUUAUUAUGAUUUUUUUUUCUUUCAAAUUUACAAGAUUUUAUUAUAAAUUUGUGUAAUUUUAACAUAAUUCAUCUGGAAUUUGUUAGGAUUUAAGGAUAGAUAUGGAAUGAAUUAAAGUGAUAUAGAUGGUAUCAUUGCUUUUUUUUGGCAUAAAGUAUGUGGUGGUUUAGGCCUUGGUAGCUUAAGAUUAAUUAUUGAUGGCCAUGGCUUAGCGUGAUGGUGUAUGCUAUUGCUAUGUUUUGGCAAAAGUCCAAGGUAGAGUGAUUACGGUGACGAUGGAAAUUACAAGAAGGGGUCCAUAGAUAUUAGGUACUCCUAUAGUGUAUCUAGCAUAGAAAACGACCAUAUUAUAUAGAUGCCAUAUUCUAUGACAACGGUCUUUUGUCUCUUAUACUACUUUAUAUAAUAUGGUCACAUAAAGAGUAAAACUUAUAACUUGUUGUGGGACCUGGAUUCCAUGAAUUUGUUUUUUCGGUGCAUUCAUGCAGUCGGACUGUUUGUAGGCGGCCGAUCAAGAUCGGACGAUCAUGAUUUAAAACUGUAUUUAUUGACUGCAUUUGUUUAAACCGUCCGAUCGUGAUCGAACGGUUAUAAAAUGACUGCACCAAAAAUUCAACUUGACUGAAUCCAUUUCCCUUGUUGUGUGCUUUGCUGUUGGUAUUCAAAGAUUUUUUAAAAGAUUCAUUAUGUGAGGGAUUGAAAAUAGCUCUCAUAAAAGAACAAAAAAUUACUGAAAAUGGCUUAUCCAUUUGUCUUCGUUGUUGUGUUUAGAGAGAGUAAAUGGAGAUGCAAUGAACGGGAUUGAGUUUAGCAGAAUGAUUCUUUAACAAAGUAGUGAAUUAAUGUACAAAUAUCAAUUAAUAUAUUUAUGUUCAUUCUAAUA